rfam:Schistosoma rodhaini strain Burundi genome assembly, scaffold: SROB_scaffold0000790
ACUGCUUCUCGCCUCUCUGAGCUUAGAUCAUGUGUAGUAUCUAAUUUUUGCAGUGUAAUUUCUGCAACGGUCUCUAAACUGACACCAUUGCAAAUACCUGCAUUUUUCUCCCCUAAAAUCUACCCCCA